rnacentral:ribozyme from 13 species
GAAAGAGAAGAGGAAGGGAAGAAAAAGGAGAAAGGAGAAGAGAGAUUUGAAAUGAUAAAAGCUCCUUCUUUCCCUUCUCUCUCUUCUCUUCAAAAUUCUUCUUCUCCUUCUCUCUCUC